UCCUGGGAUGGGGGGUUGGGGGGAGUGGUGAGCACUGGGGGUACUGGAGGGAACCUGGGCCCAGGGAGGGCUGAUGGGGCAGCCAGGAGGCAGCAGGAGGCCCCCAGGCAGAGGACCCUGGAGGACACUGAGGCCCAGGCUCCUCCCUCCAUCUCCCCCCAGCCCCGGACCCAAGGUGGUCCACUCCACUCACCUGGGCCCAAUUCUGAGUCGCGUCUUCCUAGGGCAUCAGGAGGACCUCCGGGAGGCGGCGGCGGCGGCGGCGGCGGCGGAGGCACCGGCCCGUCAGUGCCCGGAGAUGCCCCUGGGCUCCCCUCCAGACCCUGCCCCGCAUCCCCGCCAGCCUGAAGCUCCUGCGCACCUGGGCUGGGGGAGCCGGUCGGCACCCCCGGAGUCGGAGCAUCACCGCCGCUCGGAGUUGCCACAGCGACGGGAAGGAUCUCGAUAGAGACAGCAUCCCCCGGCCCCCGCAGGAUACGGAUUAACCCCUUCUCCUCCAGCUCCUCCACCUUCAGCUCCAGGGCCGAGGGCCGCGUCGGAGCAGCCGGAGGCGCUUUCUCAGGCUCUGGGGGACUCCUGGAGGCGCCCAUGGCGGUCGAUUCGCUGAAGCGCUCCUGCGAACCCCACGGGAGGGGUCAGUGCCCACCAGCAGACUGCUUGGCACCAAGCCCCCAUCCUUUUCCCGGGGUGGAGGGAGAUGUCAAGCCUAGAAGCCUCAGCUGGCCUGUUCUUGGGCGCCUGGCCCACCACCCGCCCCAGCCUCACCCGCAGGGUCUCCAACUCCUUGCGCGCCUGGCUUAGCUGUUUUUCCAGUUCUGCAAUCUUGGCCAUGGAUUCGUUCUCUGCGUCCCGAAGCCGCUCUGUCAGCUGUAGCACCAGCACAUGGUGAGCCCCGACCCGCAGCCCGGCACUGGCACCGCCGGUGAGGGGGCGGCAUCAGGCAUGCCUGCCUGGAAGACUGGGGGAGGCUCCCAGAUCCGCUCAGCCCAGGUGCCAAGGGUGGGCCGAGCCUGGCACUCGAACCCAAGCAAAUAAGGAGAGGAAACCAAGGUACCAGUGAUGCGGGAGGUGGAGGGAGAGGAGGAGUCUGAGCUGGGAGGGGCCCCAGGCACCCAUUUCAGUUCACCUGGGGUCUGAGCCUGGGUAGAGGAGGGGCCUGUCAGUGAGGGCGCUCACCCACACUCAUUGAGAAAGACACCCAACAGAUUCAGGCUUUGGAUUCAGGCCAGGCUCUGGGGCCAGGCAGGCAGCACCUCCAAUGCACAGCUAUAACACUGUCUGCCUCCCAGUGCCCAGUGCCCAUGCCUGCGUGGCCCUGUGGCCCGUGUGCCCUGUGGGCCUAUGAUGUGCCAGGCUGGGGUCAGGACCCACUCUCACCAGCGCCACCUGCUCCUGCAGUUCCUCCAUGUGCUCCAGCACAGCGUUCUUGGUCUCUGUGUCCUCCAGCAGCGCCCCCACAUCAAAAACAUUGUCCAGGUACGCCUGGAUCUGCACCUGCAGCUUGUCACUCUCGGUGAGCCGAAGUCUCUGUCCCCCAGAUGGAAGAAGUGGGGUGAGGCCUGGUGUGUGUGUGGGGGAGUCUUUCCAAAUCCCCCCCCCCACCACUGCCAUCCAGAGGAAGGGGCCUGAGCCCUAGCCUACUUUUUCUUUAUUUUUUAAGAUAUAAUUCACAUGUCAUAAAAUCCAUUUUAAAGUGUACAAUUCAGUCAUUCUUAGUAUAGCCACAAGGUUGUGCAACCAUCACCAUUAUCUAAUUCCAGAACAUUGUCAUCAGCCCAAAAAGAAACCCCAUAGGCGUCAGCAGUCACUUGCCAUUCUCUCCUCCCCCAGUCCCUGGCAACCACUAAUCUACUUUCCAUCUUUAAGGACUUACCCAUUCUGGACAUUUCAUAUAAAGCAAUCAUAGAUAGCUGGGCGAGGUGGCUCAUGCCUGUAAUCCCAGCACUGUGGGAAGCUGAGGCAGACGGAUCACCUAAGGUCAGGAGUUCAAGACCAACCUGGCCAACAUGGUGAAACCCCUGUCUCUACCAAAAAUACAAAAAUUAACUGGGUGUGGUGGUGGUGGUGGGCGCCUAUAAUCCCAGCUACUGGGGAGGCUGGAAAAUCACUUGAACCCGGGAGGUGGAGGUUGCAGUGAGCCAAGAUCGUGCCACUGCACUCCAGCCUGGGCAACAGAGCAAGACUCCGUCUCAAAAAAAAAGCAAUCAUAGAGUGCAUGACCUUUUGUGUCUGGCUUCUUUCACUUAGCAUGUUUUCAAGGCUCACCCAUGUUGUAGCAUGUGUCAAUACUUCAUUUCUUCUUGUGGCUGAAUAAUAUUCCAUUGUACGGAUAGACCCCCCCGCCAGCCUGCCCUCUACCUUUUGUUAAUCCUGGCUUUCAAAAAUCCAACCCCGAAAGCCCUGCUCCUCCAGGAAACCUCCCAAAGGAAGCAGAGAAGGAGCUGCAGCUUCUCUGCUCAGGCUGGGCCAGGAAGCACCAAGCAGCUCUGCCCACCCUCCCCAGGGCAGGGAACUCCUCCAUGUCCUGGGCCCAUCCAGGAUGAGCCAACUCCUGCUUCUGCACUGUAUCUCUGGGUUCCCCGUUAUAUGCUGGAGUCAGAGCACCUGUCUGAGGCUGGUGCUCCCAGAGCCAGACUCUGGGCCACCUUGACCUGUUCUGGUGCCUGCAAAAACAGUUCCAUAGACUGGGGGCCUGGUAUGUGCCAGGCACUGGUCUAUGCAUUUAGAGUCAAGAUUAUCUUCUAUGAUUCUCCUAUUUGACACAUGGCAAAACUGACACUCAGAGAGAGGAAGAGGCCUAUCCAAGGUCACAUGGCAGGAAAUGGCAGAGACGGGACUUAAACCCAGGUCUGCCUGACCCCAGCACUCAUGCUGCUAACCACUCAGCCGUACUCUGCCGUGGGCAGGCAGUUCAGUCUGGGGGGCAGUACAGGGCUUACCUCCAAGUACAGGUCCAGGCCCAAGUGGGUGAACUCAUAUUGCAGGAAGACACGGAAGUUCAUGUUCUCCACCGAAUGUACCACAAUGUUGAUGAACUGCAUGCAGGCUACCUGGGAGCCAGGGACAUGGGCAGAUCUAUGAUCCUCUAGGUGGGGUUGCUCAAUGCCUUCCACCUCCACUUACCCCAAGCCUCCCUCCUUCUCCACAGUUCCCACUCCGCUAACUCCCAGCCUUGGCCUGCCCAACAUUUCACCUCCAUGUUCCCUCAAUCCAGCCCCAUGCCAACAUCCACCCUUCCCCUACUGACCACUCAAUCCUUACGCUUUGCGGGGGCAGAGCCCAUUGCCCAGCACCCAGGACCCUAGCUCCUCCCUGCACCCAAGAGGGCCUGGCCCAGGCCUCGGGCUGCUGGGCUCCUGAGCUCACCAUGAAGUCGAUGUUGCUGUCUUCAUUCCGGAAAUAUUCCAUCAGCUUUUCAAAGCGGUGCUGCUCUCCACACACCUGGGUAAGGGGAAUGGCUCUGAGGCCCAGUGACACACGUCCUAAGCUACCUUCUGGCUGCCACACCUGUGCUUCAACAGGCUCGUCUCCAGUUAUUUCUAAGUUGAGCCACGUCACUCUUCUGCUCAAAACCUCCACUCCCUCUCAAUCUCCCACUCCCCCUCACUUUUUCCACUCCGGCCACACUGGCAUCCUGGCACAUUCCCACCCCAGGGCCUUUGCACUUGCUGUUCCAACUCCCUGGAGUGCCCUCACUCCCACACCAAGUCCCUUGCUUCCUUCACAGCUUUGCUGAAAUCUCACUUGCUCAGUGAGGCCUUCCCUGACCACCCUGCAACCAAUUCCCCCUCCCUCUGCAACAUUGCUGGCUUUUUUCUCACAGCAUUUAUCAUUUCCUAACAUACUAUGUAAUUUGCUCGUUUAUUAUAUCAUUUCUGUCUUUCCCUAUACGGUUUCCUUUGUUCACUGAUGUGCCCAAGUGCCCUGUUCCUGACACAUAGUAGGCACUCAAUAAAUAUUCAUUAAAGGAAUGAAUGAAUGAA